rnacentral:rRNA from 1 species
GACGAACGCUGGCGGCGUGCCUAAUACAUGCAAGUCGAACGCAUUUUCUUUCACCGUAGCUUGCUACACCGAGAGAAAAUGAGUGGCGAACGGGUGAGUAACACGUGGGUAACCUGCCCAUCAGCGGGGGAUAACACUUGGAAACAGGUGCUAAUACCGCAUAAUUCCAUUUACUGCAUGGUAGAUGGAUGAAAGGCGCUUUUGCGUCACUGAUGGAUGGACCCGCGGUGCAUUAGCUAGUUGGUGGGGUAACGGCCUACCAAGGCUGCGAUGCAUAGCCGACCUGAGAGGGUGAUCGGCCACACUGGGACUGAGACACGGCCCAGACUCCUACGGGAGGCAGCAGUAGGGAAUCUUCGGCAAUGGACGCAAGUCUGACCGAGCAACGCCGCGUGAGUGAAGAAGGUUUUCGGAUCGUAAAACUCUGUUGUUAGAAAAGAACAAGGAUGAGAGUGGAAAGUUCAUCCCUUGACGGUAUCUAACCAGAAAGCCACGGCUAACUACGUG